rnacentral:lncRNA from 1 species
GUUGCUGCUGCUGUUGUUGUUGCGGGUGAUGGUGGUGGUAGGCGGCUGAGAGCGGAGACAGCCGCUGCGGGAAGCCAGCCGGGACUUCGGAGGGCGCCACCACUGGGGUGGGUCGAAGCGGGGAUCUGGCCGCCGCUUGGAAAGAGGCGUGCGGGUGAACCGAGCCCAAGUGCGCGGUGAGGGCGGCGGCCGAGGCCCCUGCCAGGCCCUCCGGGGCCGCCCCCAGAUCCCCCACGCCGGCGUGCAGAAUGUCUGCGAUGCAGAAGGAGGGCUUUUUGACGGCGGCGGGGUCCAAGGGGAAGGAGCAGCCGCCUGGGCCGGCCGAGGAGCAGUAAGCGGCCGACCAGAGGCUGAAGUUGGAGGCGUAGAAGGGAGCCAGCCCGGCUGCGAACAUCCUGCCGGGGCCAGGUGGUCUCAGAAGAGGCAACUGGUUGCCAGGAAGCACAGUCUAUGAGACCCAGAAGUAACUCUGGAGAUCCUCCAAUUACCUCUCACUUUACAGUGAAGGAAACUGAGGCCCAGAUGGAGUCAGUAGGUUACUUGAGAUCUCACAGUUGCAGAAGUGGACUAAAAGCCAGAUGGAGUUUUGCUCUCGUUGCCCAGGCUGGAAUGUAAAUAGUGUGAUCUCGACAUACUGCAACCUCUGCCUCCCAGGUUCAAGCGAUUCUCCUGCC